UACCGAAAGGUCUACCGACUAAAAUCUUUACCAGAUUGCUGUUAGCCUCCGUUUUCACUCCUCGGGUGUCGGAAUGACAUGAAACUUUCAAUCCGACCUCAGAAAAAUAAUUUCGACAUAUUCUCAAAUUUUUAUAAUUUUCUAACACUGAAUUUUUAGCUAAAAGAUAGGUCAUGUUCUUUACAGAAAAUUUCAAAUCUCCUAUUUUCAUUUCAAUUUUACCAUAAAUUAUUUCUAAAUUAUCUUUUACUUUUCUAAGUCCAAUAAAAAUAGUAUCUCAUACUAUAUUUAUUUACUCUUGAUUUUAUAUAAAAUAAAU
rnacentral:lncRNA from 1 species